rnacentral:tRNA from 1 species
CAUUGAGAAGCUAAACACAGCAUUAACCUUUUAAGUUAAAGACUGAGAGUAGAAAUCUCUCCUUAAUGA